rnacentral:rRNA from 1 species
GACAGAGGGUGCAAACGUUGCUCGGAAUUACUGGGCGUAAAGCGCGUGUAGGCGGUUCCGCAAGUCAGGUGUGAAAGCCCAGGGCUCAACCCUGGAAGUGCACUUGAUACUACGGAGCUUGAGUACUGAAGAGGAGAGCGGAAUUCCCGGUGUAGAGGUGAAAUUCGUAGAUAUCGGGAGGAACACCAGUGGCGAAGGCGGGUCUCUGGGCCGAAACUGACGCUGAGGAGCGAAAGCGUGGGGAGCAAACAGG